CAUUAAUUUCCCUUUGCCAAAACCACAGCCGCCUAACCAUUGGGUGGAUUGUUCCAUCAAUCAAAUCUCAGGAAGUAGCUACCCACUUGAAUACGAGAGGAUGAAGUAAAUAAAACCAAAAUUAUCUAUUUGAAGGUGGAGCGGGAGUAAGACCACUAGAAAGCAGCAUGCUGCCAGACCACCACAGGACCCUAGAGGCCUCUCUGCAUGCUGUGACAAGGGCCUGGAUGGUGACAUAUGCUUAAAGCUGCCUGACUGAAUACAGGGGCCUUCAGCGGUACCUUCCCUUUGAUUACAGCAAGAGUCUCCUUAUGUCUCGUAGCCAUUUAACAUGUACUGUAUGUAACCACUCAAAUUUUUACAAACUUAUACGAAUACAAGAACAGACUUAUAUUCACUUGCCGCUGGCUGCGUUUACAGGCAGCCCAAUUCUGGUAUUUUUUCCACUAAUUGGUGUUUUGACCAAUCCCAGAUCUUUUCACAUUGGAUCUUUUUCAGCACUGAUCUGAUUGAUCAAAAGACCAAUUGGUGAAGAAGAAAAAAUGUCAGACUUGGGCUGCCUGUCUAAACACAGCCUAUUUGUCCUAUUCUUCAGGCUUGACUGCGAUAUAUAUUUUAGUUGGCACACCUGUGUGAUAUCUUUUAUACAUGAAUAAUAAUGUAUUCACCCUG